rnacentral:rRNA from 1 species
AGUGAACGCUAGCGGUAGGCCUAACACAUGCAAGUCGAACGGCAGCACAGUAAGAGCUUGCUCUUACGGGUGGCGAGUGGCGGACGGGUGAGGAAUACAUCGGAAUCUACUUUUUCGUGGGGGAUAACGUAGGGAAACUUACGCUAAUACCGCAUACGACCUACGGGUGAAAGCAGGGGAUCUUCGGACCUUGCGCGAUUGAAUGAGCCGAUGUCGGAUUAGCUAGUUGGCGGGGUAAAGGCCCACCAAGGCGACGAUGCGUAGCUGGUCUGAGAGGAUGAUCAGCCACACUGGAACUGAGACACGGUCCAGACUCCUACGGGAGGCAGCAGUGGGGAAUAUUGGACAAUGGGCGCAAGCCUGAUCCAGCCAUACCGCGUGGGUGAAGAAGGCCUUCGGGUUGUAGAGCCCUUCUGUUGGGAAAGAAAAGCAGCAGGUUAAUACCCCGCUGUUCUGACGGUACCCAAAGAAUAGGCACCGGCUAACUUCGUG